rnacentral:lncRNA from 1 species
GUGACGGAGCACCCGGGGCCGUCGAUCUUCUUCACCGUCUGCGUCUCCACCGGCUGACGGAUCGCCAGCUCGGUGUCCUUGUGAUCCGUAGCCUUCCACGCGGGCAGGAGCUCCUCGGCGAAGGUCGUGAUUGCCUCGACGGUUCGGUCGCCGUGGUAGGAGGUGUGGUCGUGGUCGUAGCCGCGGUGCAGGGCGUCGUGGGACUUGGUGUACACUCGCACGGACGGGUACCCCUGGAUGUGCUGAUCCCUGCACAGUCGUUCGUGCUUGGUGCAGUCAACCUCGGCGACGACGACGCGGUUGGCGUGAUC